UGACAAUGAAGAUCGGAAAGAAGCCGAGAAUGGAGGUGGAGUGAACGACGUUGUCAUGAAUCGAUUCUCCAAACGUCCACCAAUACAGGCAGAAGUUUACAAUCCUGACGAAGAAAACAGUAGGGACUCCAGGAAUAAGAAUCUCGGAGCUGACACUCGAGUAGGAUCGGGCUUGCAGACAGCCUGCUGUUUAAGGAUCUGCAACAAGGGCAGAUGUGCACGCAUUCGAUACUGUAUUGAAAAGAGCCACGGUUACAACCGUGACCCAGUUUCUGCAAUUGACAGAGGAAUAUAUGAUGUGUGUAGAGUGACAGUGUGUUGAUUCUGAAGCAGUAAAAAAUUUCAGUGACAAGCAAGAGGUGGUAAAAAUACUGGGGUUGAAACUGCCCAGCCAUCUGAGCUAUCUGGUUUGGAAGAGCUAUCCUGGUGAUUUCCCAACAUUGACCAGCAACCUCCUUGUCCAUUAUUCCAGCUGACUUGUUAGCAUUUGAUAGACUUUUGAAGAUAUUGUCUGGAAAUUAGGAACCGAUCUCAACUAUGAAGAAGAGUGAAGUUGUCCUUUUUUGGUGUUGUUGAAGCCUCUGCCUGUGCAAAUACCGUGGAGUCAGAAGACCUAUGACAGACUAAAUCUAAAUGUCUGGUCCACUGAGAAUGUAUUUAUGCAGGUGUGAAGCAUUUUCUGUGUCUUUUUCUCUUUCCCUUUGUCUUUUCCUCUUCCCUCCCCUCUUUCUUUCCUACCCUCCCCCCCUUUUUUUUUGGUCUUUUGUGCAUUUUAGUGUAUAAACAAAAUAGUGACUUAGUAGACAAUAGACUUAACACUUCCCAAAGAUGAAUGUUAAGAAUUCAACAUUUUGGGGGCGCCUGGGUGGCUCAGUCAUUAAGCGUCUGCCUUCUGCUCAGGGCGUGAUCCCAGCGUUCUGGGAUCGAGCCCCAUAUCAGGCUCCUCUGCUGGGAGCCUGCUUAUUCCUCUCCCACUCCCCCUGCUUGUGUUCCCUCUCUCGCUGGAUGUCUCUAAUCCAACAUUUUGUUUCUAUGAAAUAUUUGUGCACAAGAAGAUAGUGAAAAGUUAAAAUAUGUUCUUAUCUAUGCAUCUAUGAGACAUCUGUGCAACUACACCUAGUACGUAGCAAGAUAUCUAUCACUUUUUUUUACAUCUUUCUAUAAUUUUGAAUAAUUUUAAUAAUCCUUAUUUUUAAAAUAUUUUUGGCUUUGGUAAGUUAUGUGUUGGCUUCUUGGGGAAAGGGAAUAAAAUGACAAAUAUUUCCUAAACCUUAAAUAUA
rnacentral:lncRNA from 1 species